rnacentral:rRNA from 1 species
GUCCUCUUGAAAAGAAUUUGAGGUCUAGUCUGCUCACUGAUAUGGAUUGAAGAGCCGCGGUAUUUUGACCGUGCAAAGGUAGCAUAAUCAUUAGUCUCUUAAUUAGGGGCUGGAAUGAAUGGUUUGAUGAGGAAUAAACUGUCUUUUAUUAAUUUUUAGAAUUUAACUUUUGAGUUAAAAGGCUUAAAUUUUUCUUUAGGACGAGAAGACCCUAUAGAGCUUAACAUUUUACUUUAUAUAUUUUUUAGUUGAUUUUUUUAUAUAAAAUAUUAAUGUUUGGUUGGGGUGACAUGAAGAAUAAUUAAACUCUUCAUUAUUAAAUCAUUAAUUUAUGUUUAUUAUGAUCCAUAAUUCAUGAUUAUAAGAUUAAGUUACCUUAGGGAUAACAGCGUAAUUGUUUUUAAGAGUUCAUAUCAACAAAAUAGAUUGCGACCUCGAUGUUGGAUUAAGAAAAAUUUUGGGUGCAGUAACUCAAUAAUUAGGUCUGUUCGACCUUUAAAUUCUU